CUGUAUCGUUUAUGAGACACAGCGCGUCAGCAUUUGGAUUCGCCUUUGAUGCCACGCUGGAUGUCAUGUCAUCAGCCAUCGUCCUGUGGCGCUACAGCAAUGCAGCAGCUGUGCACUCUGCACACAGAGAGUAUAUAGCAUGUGUCGUCCUUGGGGUUGUGUUCGUUCUCUCCUCUAUUUGUAUUCUUGGAAAGGCCAUCCACGAUCUGGCUACCAGGAUGCCCC